GGCGGAGUAGCUCAGUUGGUCUAGAGCAACCGGUUCAUACCCGGUAGGUCAUGGGUUCAAAUCCAAUCUCCGCUACCA
rnacentral:tRNA from 1 species